GCCUUUACCAUACCGUUCAUAUGCUGGAAAAUAUUUGAUAGCAUCUGUGUCUGAGGGAUCCAAAGACACAGCUUUAUUGGCCUUCAGAUUGCCUUUACCAUACCGUUCAUAUGUUGGAAAAUAUUUGAUGGCAUCUGUGUCUGAGGGACGCAAAAACACAGCUUUAUUGGCCUUCAGAUUGCUUUUACCAUACCGUUCAUAUGUUGGAAAAUAUUUGAUAGCAUCUGUGUCUGAGGGAUCCAAAGACACACCUUG